rnacentral:snRNA from 1 species
AUACUUACCUGGCAGGGGAGAUACCAUGAUCACGAAGGUGGUUCUCCCAGAGCGAGGCUCAUCCAUUGCACUCCGGCCGUGCUGACCCCUGCGAUUUCCCCAAAUGCGGGAAAGUCGACUGCAUAAUUUCUGGUAGUGGGGGACUGCGUUCGCGCUUUCCCCUG